rnacentral:lncRNA from 1 species
AAGCUUUAAGCUUUUGGGUCUACUGCAGGAGUUGGGUCCUUUCCAACUCUCUUUGCCUCUCCUCUGCUCGCUUCUUCUUUCCUCUCUUCUCCCCUCCCCUUCUUAUCUAUCUAUCUAUCUAUCUAUCUAUCUAUCUAUCUAUCUAUCUGUUCUUUUGAGAUAGGAUCUUGCUAUGUAGUCUAAGCUGUCUUUGAAUUCAUGGCUGUCCUCUGCAUUAGCCUCCCCAGUACUGGGAUUGCAGGUAUAUCCUCUGCUCCAUUGUUUUUCUAAGUAGUUUUUGAUUGGGAUAAAAACACAGAUCACAUUGCUUACUAUUAGGUAGAUUACAAUGUUGAAAGAUGAUUCUCUAAGAAGUUACAGUGGACUUCUAUUUUAUGUGUUUAAGUGUUUGCUUGGAUGUAUGUGCACCAUGCGUGUUGGAUUCCCUGGAACUGGAGUUAGAGACACUUGUGAGCUGCUUUGUUGGUGCUGAGAACUGACCCAGGUCCUCUGCCAUGGCUGCUAGUGUUCUUAACUGCUGAGCCAUCUCUGCAGCCCUGGAUUUUACUGAGUAGCUUACAACAAUAAAGUUUAAGAUGGCUUGGUCUACCAGACUAAAGUCAUGGUUCCCAGAUGAGGAGCUGCUGGUCUAGAAUCCACGCUCUACCUUCCCCUAGGGGGUGGUGGGAGGGAUGUCCUUUGUAAAGCUGGCAGGUCAGAGGUGAAGCAGAAGUGAUUGUUAUUUAUGCUUUAGUAAGGCUCAGGUCCUCUCUGGGACUGUGGUAGCUCCAGGCUGGACCCUUCAUCACAGUCUCAGAUUUACUUACUCACCACCUUAAAGGCUUAGCUCAUUGUACAAACUUUGUGCUUUAGCCACCAACCUCUUGCAAGGACUUGCCCAUUUACUGACCUGUUUUGUAUUAAAAGCAGGCCUGUGUAGCCCUACCUGAUUUCUUUUUUAAAAAUUAUGAACUGACUAUUUCCAUAUCAAUCAAUAUUUGUAAAAGGAACAUUUGUGAACCCAGCCCCUCUUCAGAAAAGAGGACAUCUCAGUAACCUGAGUGUCCUUGAUGCAUCCUGCCCUGACAUCUGUUAACUCCUCUGUCAGGAGCAGUUAGCAUCUUACUUCUUUGAGGCGUAUGCAGCACGGAUAUUGACUAGCUGUGUUGACUCUUGCCUUCCACGCACACAUUACAUGUGUGUUCCAGUUCACCUGCCCUGUGCUGAAUGUGGACAUUCCUGAACAUUGCAGUGCAUAAAGCAGAGUGGGUUCAGGUGGUCAGGGACCAGGUGCUGUGCCAUUGCUCUAGCCGCUGGGUUGAGCUUGGUGUUAGCUCCUGAGCCACAGUUAGUCAGUCUCAGGACAGCAAGAUCCCCCCAUCCUCCUCCCCGUGACUGCUAGCACUGCCUGAGAAGCCAUGUAAGUGUUCUUUAUAAAAGCUUUAAUAUUUUUUUUAAUUAGGCUUUUUGAUUUAAAUAGCUUAGGGUUAAGAGCUUCAGUCACCAGGCACUCACAUGGCACACAGACAUGCAUGCAAGCAAAAUACCUAUACAGGUAAAAUACAAUAAUUAUGAAAAAAUUUAAGUAUAUUUAUUUGUGCAUGUGUAAAAGUCAGAAGACAGCUUGCAAGAGUUGGUUUCUUCCUCACCCUGUGGCUUCUAGGAGAUGGAACUCAGACAGUGUCAGGCUUAGCACAGUGGCAAGGGCCUUCCCUCCCUCACCUCCCUGGCUCUGUGGAUUUAGGCUUUGUUGUUGUUGUUUUUUAUUACAGUUUUUUUUUUUUUUUUUUUUUUUUUGGUGUAGUCCUGGCUGUCCUGGAACUCACUCUGUAGACCAGGUUGGCCUCAAACUCAGAGAUCUACCUGCCUCUGCCUGGGAUUAAAGGUAUGUACUAACAGGCUCAGCUUUUACCCCUGCCCUUAAAGGGGAGUCUGUCUGUCUGUCUAGGUUGGCCUGAAACUCUGAUGCAUUCUAGCCUCACCUCAGACUUGUGGAAAUCCUGCCCUAGCUACCACCUGGCUUAAGGGAUAGAUUCUCAAGAUGGACACUUAGUGUGAGUCUCCAGCCAUCUGUUUCCUUGGUGUUAGUUCUGGGAGGUGACUGUCUCAUUGAUUCUGUACAUUUUCCUGCAGUGAUGUGGUUCUUCACUUUAGAUUAUUUUGCUUUUCACUUUGAAUUAAGUAAUUUGUUAUUUAGAAGUAUUUUGUUGUUCUGUUUUUGCGGUGGGGUUUCAUUAUGUAGCCUGCGCUAAAGUCAAUCCCAGAAUCCUCUUGCCUCUGCCUCAUGUAUAUUGGGAUUAUGGGUGAGCACAGGCAUGCUUAUCCUGCUUUGUAAUUUGUAGCAUAGGUGAGAUUUUCUAGGAUGAGUUUGAUUUUUUUUUUUUUUCAGUUGCUUGUGAUUGAAGUCAUCUGUGAUGGCUGCCGAGUCAUCCUUGGCUAGUGCACUUGUGGUUAGGGGCGCCUGUGGACAGUACUGUCCUAAGUGGAUGGCGCCCCCUAGUGUUGUGGCUCGUACAGCUUGCUUUACAGUCUAGUGACAUUGAAAUGAGUUUCAUGGUCUCAGAAGGCUGGUUCGUUCUUUCUUUCUUUCUUUCUUUCUUUCUUUCUCUCUAUCCUUCUGGUCAGUGCUUCCUGCUGUGGUUGUAUUCUGAGGCUGUGCUGUCAUGUUAUACACUCUGAGUCUGCAUCACUUGGAAGUGGCUUUUUAAACCCAUAACAGUGCUUUUUACUUCAGAUCUUUUUGGCCUUGUUAACACCAGGCACCGACCAGGUUCUCUGUUGCUUAUUUUCCAUCCCUUUAUGUAGGUCAGUGUUUCUGUAUCAUUUUGUGCUCCAUAUGUCUGUGUAAACAGCUAUUAGUUCAGCCUGAUGAUCUGUCUGUCUGUCUACAUGAUUCAGGGUUUCUCUGUGUAGCCUUGGUUGUCCUGGAACUCACUUCCAGGACAACCAGGCUGGCCUUGUACUUAGAGAUCUGCCUGCCUCUGCUCCCUGAGUGCUGGAACUAAAAUCAUGUGCUACAACUGCCUGGCUUGAUUUUUAUCUUUUAAUUAAAGCAGUUAAUUUUUUUUUAUUUAGUCCUAAAUCUAGCAUCUUAUUUAUACUUAAAAAAAAUGCAUUGGAAAUGUCUAAUCUCUCUCCUUUACUCUUUGUGAAGUAACCUGGCCUUCUUCUGUAACAGCAGUCGAGGCAGCACAGAGGAGAGGAGAACAGUUACAGCACAAGGUCCCAGAAGUCAUUUCUUUUGUUUGUUUCUGUCUGUGAUUGGUUUAUUCCCAGCCCCACCCCCUUGAGUUUUGGGUGGGAUUCCUCAUUUUAAUGGAAAGAUUUUAGAAUUUCUUCUCACAAGGGCUUGGUGACAUCAAAUUUAUUACUCAGAAAAUAUCUUUAUUCAGCCCCGAUUCUUGAAGAAUAUUUUCCCUGAUAUUUCUUACAGGCUUGUAGAUGCAGUCUCACUAGGGGCUUCUGUUGAUGUUAGCUAGGUGAAGGGCCUGGCUAGUUGGCAAGGCGCUUCUCUUCAUGUUGGCUGGCUUCACUUCUCUCCACUGCUUUCAAGAAACUUCCUGUUUUCUCGGGGUGGGUGGGUAUUUCUGCCCAUUUUACCUAUGAACUUAAAGGAUUUUUUUUUUUUUUUGAGUCUGUGAUUUAGUGCCUUCAUCAGUUAAAAACAACCACCACCACCACCCCUC